UCCACCGCCUCUCCUUUUCCAAGCAGAGCCCUUCCUUUGCUGACAGACAGGCGGCUGGCUUUCUCUGGGGCCGUUUGUCUGUCAGAUGGCUUAUUUCCUUGCCUCCCUCAGGCGCUAAUGGAGUUUAAUCCCUCAAGAGGCAGGUCCUGGAUUGGGUUCCCUUCGGCUGGUGGAGCUGUCUGCCGGAAGGAAGGAAGGACUAGUGCCCAGGAGCCAGGCAGACCUGGGUUGGGAACCUACCAAAACCUCAGUGUCCUGAUCUGAAGCAUGGGGACAGAAACAGGCUUGG
rnacentral:lncRNA from 1 species